CUCAGAAACUUAAAGGAAGUUGACGGGGCCCGGCGACAAGCGGUGGAGCAUGUGGUUUAAUUCGAGGCAACGCGAAGAACCUUACCAGGCCUUGACAUGCAGAGAACUUUCCAGAGAUGGAUUGGUGCCUUCGGGAACUCUGACACAGGUGCUGCAUGGCUGUCGCCAGCUCGUGUCGUGAGAUGUUGGGUUAAGUCCGUAACGAGCGCAACCCUUGUCCUUAGUUACCAGCACGUUAUGGUGGGCACUCUAAGGAGACUGCCGGUGACAAACCGGAGGAAGGUGGGGAUGACGUCAAGUCAUCAUGGCCCUUACGGCCUGGGCUACACACGUGCUACAAUGGUCGGUACAAAGGGUUGCCAAGCCGCGAGGUGGAGCUAAUCCCAUAAAACCGAUCGUAGUCCGGAUCGCAGUCUGCAACUCGACUGCGUGAAGUCGGAAUCGCUAGUAAUCGUGAAUCAGAAUGUCACGGUGAAUACGUUCCCGGGCCUU
rnacentral:rRNA from 1 species